rnacentral:rRNA from 1 species
CAAUAGCGUAUAUUUAAGUUGUUGCAGUUAAAAAGCUCGUAGUUGGAUUUCGGAUGGGAUUUGCCGGUCCGUCGUUACGAUGUGCACUGGCCAGUCCUAUCUUGUUGUCGGGGACUAGCUCCUUGGAUUCACUUCCUGGGACUAGGAGCUGACGAGGUUACUUUGAGUAAAUUAGAGUGUUCAAAGCCAGCCUACGCUCUGAAUACAUUAGCAUGGAAUAACACGAUAGGACUCUGGCUUAUCUUGUUGGUCUGUGAGACCAGAGUAAUGAUUAAGAGGGACAGUCGGGGACAUUCGUAUUUCAUUGUCAGAGGUGAAAUUCUUGGAUUUAUGAAAGACGAACUUCUGCGAAAGCAUUUGUCAAGGAUGUUUUCAUUAA